rnacentral:rRNA from 1 species
UACCAGCUCUCCGAGUGGUAGGGAUGUUUAUUGGGCUUAAAGCGUCCGUAGCCGGCUUAGCAAGUCUCCUGUUAAAUUCAGCGACCUAAUCGUUGAGCCGCGGGAGAUACUAUUAGGCUAGGAGGCGGGAGAGGUCAACGGUACUUCCGGGGUAGGGGUGAAAUCCUAUAAUCCCGGGAGGACCACCAGUGGCGAAGGCUGUUGACUAGAACGCGCUCGACGGUGAGGGACGAAAGCUGGGGGAGCGAACCGGAUUAGAUACCCGGGUAGUCCCAGCUGUAAACGAUGCGAGCUAGGUGUUGGGGUGGCUACGUGCCACUUCAGUGCCGCAGGGAAGCCAUUAAGCUCGCCGCCUGGGGAGUACGGCCGCAAGGCUGAAACUUAAAGGAAUUGGCGGGGGAGCACCACAAGGCGUGAAGCUUGCGGUUCA